ensembl:lncRNA
UUAAUCUUCAUUGUUGUUGCCUUUCGCAGGCAACCGUGAUGUUCGUUGCUUAGGGGAGCCUGCGGCUUGGCCAUAUACCGAGGUGACACCAAUAUGAUGAGCGGUAAAAUGGCUUCUAUUCACUACUAAAACACAGCUUAUAUACAUUUUUACCUACAAAACUGUGCUGUCAUGUCCCACUCUGAUUGGUUCAUACCAGACAACACCGUGCCCUAUUUGGCCGUCUCCACAUUCUUUUCUCAUUCUUCUUCUUCUCCUGUUUUCUCUGCAUCAAGGUCAGCACGAUAGCACUGUCUCUCUAUGCUUAGGGAGAGGCCUGUCCCGUACAUCCCGUGCCCCCGCAAGACGCCUACUACAACAACUUUUCUCUCUUGAAGCAUAUGAUGUCUGCUAUCACACACAUAUGGAUACAGUGUCACCCACUUCACAGAAAGGUUUUCCACACUAUGAAAACAAGGUGAUGUUUGUGUAGAAGAGCUCAUACAGAAACCACAGA